UCCGCCCCCCCCCUCCCCUCCUCCCCUCGCUCCUCCUCGGCACCGGGCCAAAUGCCCCGAUAAGCCAGACUCUCUGUUAAUUCCUGCUGAUUGCCCCUGCAGAUAGAGAGAGAGAACUCCAAAUGGUCCAUGCAGGGAAAAGGCACAAGCAGUUCCACAGAGGCGAUCUGCUCCUGUGGAAAACAAGCAUCCCGCCCCUCGGCCUUGCCUCGCCUCACGCUCAGACUGAGCUUAAACGUAUGACCGGCCAGCUCCCUGAUCACAGAACGAAAAACCGAAGGAGACAAACCGAAUAUUCCCAAUCACACCUGCCGUUGGAAGUCAGAAGGAACGGGGUUUCAUAGCCGCUCAUUUACUGCAAUGCAUUCGCUGACAAAAGCACCUGAGCGUUUAAUAGAUUAAAUAGGCUGUGUUUUCCCCGACCGAAAUGAAAUACAGCGCUGAUGGUGAUAUUGAUCCCCUUCGGUUGCGGCGUAGAUGAGCGGCUCCGAUACUCCUCGCAUUGUUUGUUAAACCGCGUAAUCUUCGUGCCUCAAAGGAGGAUCUGGAUAAGGAAGAAUAUGGAGCGCGUUCUCUUUCGACGCAGGAAGACGCAUCUCCUGGUGAUUUUUUUUUUUUCGCCCCCCGCCUCUUUCAACUGAUAUCAGAUGCUCAGCUUUGAAUUUUAUGAGCCUUUGUGCUUUGUGUGUGUGUGUACUGUAUGUGUGUGUGCAUUCAUGGAUGCGUCUGUGUGCGUUCACAUAAAUAUUCAAUGCUGGAAAGAAAAUGUAUUCACACUCUCAAACUAACAAAAACUGUCAACAUAAAACAGAAAUUUGCUUAAAGCAA